rnacentral:lncRNA from 1 species
UAAGCAAGACAACAUAUUUAAAUUAUUGUCAAAUGGCUCAAAAGGUUCUCAAUAUCUUUAUUUUUGCAAAACAAUAAGUACAUUAGGUGACCAUUUUUAUUUUAUCAAUUUCUUUGAGUUUAUCAAAAUAUUUUAAUGAAGUUAAGUUGAACGUACUUGACCCAUACUUCUACUCCCUCCUCUGUCUUUAUAGAAUUUAAAUUUUGUCCUAAAAUAUUUAAUCUUCACAUUUCUCAAUACAUCUUUAUUUUUUUCUAAUACACCUUUCUAUUUUUUAAUACAUCUUUCUUUUUUUUUCAAUACGUCUCUAUUUCUAUAUUCUUGGGGUGCUUGUUGGUCUUUUGCCUUUUGUGUUGGUCUUUGCAAGAAUUUUUCUAAAAUGGCAUAUUAUAUGGGAUAGAGGGAGUGUGUAAUUUAUAAAAGAUAAUUACUUAUAAUUCACUUAUCUUUUUUGGGCUAAAAUUAUGCUUUGUUUAGUUCCCCAUCCAAAAAAAAUUUUCAUCCAUCACAUCGAUUCUCUAGACACAUGCAUGGAGCAUUAAAAUGUCGACAAAAAUAAAAACUAAUUGCACAGUUUAGUUGUAAAUCACGAGAUUAAUCUUUUAAGCAUAAUUAGCACAUGAUUAACCACAACUACUACAGUAACCCACAUAUGCUAAUAUCAGAUUAAUUAGGCUUAAUAAAUUCGUCUCACAGUUUCCAGGCGAGCUAUAUAAUUUGUUUUUUUAUUAGUCUAUGUUUAAUAUAUAUUUCAAAUAUGUACCGACAUAUUUGAUGUGACAUCUAAAAAAAUUUUCGUCGCGCAAGUAAACAAGGCCUUAGGAACCCAGACUAAUGGAUAUCCGAAUUCAUCAAUAUCUGAACUAGCUAUUCGGAUCCCAUUUCCGUGUGAACGUCUAGAUGCGGUCAUGCGGACCAAGUCAUCGCUGCCGCCCCUCGGUGCGCGGGGACUGCAACUGUGUGAGAGACUGAGGCCACCUACAACCGUGCUGGCCGUCAUCUUCGGAAGGU